AGAGGGUCCUGGGGGUGGGGAUGGGGCGGAGCUCCAGCCUCCAAGAUCUGGGCAGGACUGCGGGCAGCCGCUGAGAUGGGGAGACCGAGUCUCUCUGAGGUGCUGCCUGUCCCCACGUGAGACCACAAUGCCACCACAGCAGGAACCUCCACAUACAGGACAGUGAGGGCAGAGCUCAGCCCAGGGCAGGGGGGCUCUGCAGGGGGAGCUGGGUCAGCUCUGGGGGUCUGCCCUCAGGGUCUUCUUCAUGUUGUCCUGAGAACCCCUCAGAGUCUCCACCAAGACUUGACUCUUGUCCCUUCAAGGGGGGUCAGCAAUCCCAGACAACGGCAGGGGAAGGAGGACAAGGUGUUCAUGCCGCGAGCCUUCUUCAAUGUCUCCGGGUGAGAAAAUGGUUCUGGGCUUGCCCCAAGCAGGACACAGAGCUGACUGGAGCACACGGCCACCCCACCCUGGAGAAGGGGCCCUCAGGACAGGUCCAGGCACCGGAGACGUGCAAGGACGUGGCUCCUCUGGGUGCCAGUCUCCAUGUCUGGGUGCUGGGGCAGGACUAGGAGAAGCCCCAGCUCGCCAAGAAAGCCCACGUCUGC